GGCGAUCAGAUACCGCCCUAGUUCUGACCGUAAACGAUGCCAACUAGCGAUCCGCCGGCGGAUUUAUUCGCCCUGGUGGGGAGCUUCCCGGAAACGAAAGUCUUCCGGUUCCGGGGGAAGUAUGGUUGCAAAGCUGAAACUUAAAGGAAUUGACGGAAGGGCACCACCAGGAGUGGAGCCUGCGGCUUAAUUUGACUCAACACGGGGAAACUCACCCGGCCCGGACACCGUAAGGAUUGACAGAUUGAUAGCUUUUUCAUGAUUCGGUGGAUGGUGGUGCAUGGCCGUUCUUAGUUCGUGGAGCGAUUUGUCUGGUUUAUUCCGAUAACGAGCGAGACUCUGGCCUACUAAAUAGUUGGCGCAUUGCUAUUGUGCGUACAACUUCUUAGAGGGAUUUUCGGUGUUCAGCCGCACGAAAUUGAGCAAUAACAGGUCUGUGAUGCCCUUAGAUGUCCGGGGCUGCACGCGCGCUACACUGGCAAAAUCAGCGUGCUUGUCCUUCCCCGAAAGGGGUUGGUAAACCCGUGAAAAUUUGCCGUGAUUGGGAUCGGACAUUGCAAUUAUUGUCCGUGAACGAGGAAUUCCUUGUAGGGGCGAGUCAUCAACUCGCUCUGAUUACGUCCCUGCCCUUUGUA
rnacentral:rRNA from 1 species